rnacentral:rRNA from 1 species
ACUCCUACGGGAGGCAGCAACCGGGAAUCNUGCNCAAUGGACGAAAGUCUGACGCCGCGACGCCGCGUGAGGGAUGAAGGCCUUANGGUUGUAAACCUCUUUUGCCAAGCGGGAGACUUCUUGGCGAAUAANCAUCGGCUAACUACNUGCCGGCAGCAGCGGUAAAACGUANGAUGCAAGCGUUGUCCGGAUUUAUUGGGCGUANAGAGUUCNUANGCGCCUUGCAAAGUUAUGUUUCNAAGCCCGGGGCUUAACCUCGGAAAGGGGCAUAAUACUACCAGGGUUGANGAAUGUUGGGGCUACUANAAUUGUCGGUGUANGGGUGAAAUCCGUUGAUAUUGACAANAACACCGAGGGCGAANGCGGGUAGCUAGGNNUUUCUUGACGCUGAGGAACGAAAGCUAGGGGAGCGAANGCNAUUANAGACCGCUGUAGUCCUANCCGUAAACGAU